AAAAACAUCGCCUUUAGCUCUAAUAUUAAAGGUUCUGCCUGCCCGGUGACUUAGGUUAAACGGCUGCAGUAUUACUGACUGUGCAAAGGUAGCAUAAUAAUUCGCCUGUUAAUUGCAGGCUAGUAUCAACGGCUAGACGACAGAAAAACUGUCUCUCUUUGUUAGACUUUAACUUUUAGUUUAGGUGAAGAUACCUAAAUUUUUUAGUGGGACGAGAAGACCCUAUAGAGCUUUACCUUAAAAUAAUAAACUAAUUAUUAAAAGGUUUGGUUGGGGCAACCAUAUUUUUUUUGAAACAAAUAUUAAAAGCAAUAAUCGAAGACCCAAAAUUAUUUUGAUCUAAGAAAAAAGUUACCUUAGGGAUAACAGCGUAAUUUUCUUUAAGAGUACGUAUUGACAAGAAAGCUUGCGACCUCGAUGUUGGAUCAGAAAAACCUGGAUGUGCAGCAGCCUCCUAGGGUUGGUUUGUUCAACCAUUAAAUUUCUACGUGAUCUGA
rnacentral:rRNA from 1 species